GACAGAGGUCCCGAGCGUUAGGCGGAAUCACUGGGCUUAAAGCGUGUGUAGGCGGCGGCCUAAGUACCUUGUGAAAUCCCACGGCUCACCCGUGGAACUGCUCGGUAUACUGGGUCGCUUGAGCCACUUAGGGGCUACCGGAACAAAAUGGUGGAGCGGUGAAAUGCGUAGAUAUCAUUUGGAACGCCAAUGGUGAAAACAGGUAGCUGGGAGUGUGCUGACGCUGAGACACGAAAGCCAGGGGAGCAAACGGGG
rnacentral:rRNA from 1 species